rnacentral:rRNA from 1 species
AGAGUUUGAUCCUGGCUCAGAUUGAACGCUAGCGGGAUGCUUUACACAUGCAAGUCGAACGGCAGCACGAAGAGCUUGCUCUUUGGUGGCGAGUGGCGAACGGGUGAGUAAUAUAUCGGAACGUGCCCAGUAGCGGGGGAUAACUGGCCGAAAGGUCAGCUAAUACCGCAUACGUCCUACGGGAGAAAGGGGGGGAUCGCAAGACCUCUCACUAUUGGAGCGGCCGAUAUCAGAUUAGCUUGUUGGUGAGGUAAAGGCUCACCAAGGCCGCGAUCUGUAGCUGGUUUGAGAGGACGACCAGCCACACUGGGACUGAGACACGGCCCAGACUCCUACGGGAGGCAGCAGUGGGGAAUUUUGGACAAUGGGGGCAACCCUGAUCCAGCCAUCCCGCGUGUGCGAUGAAGGCCUUCGGG